UCCUCCAUUUGGGGUGGUCUUGAGUGAUAGUCUCCCAUGAAUUGAUGUCAAUGCUGCAUCUUUUCAAGUUGGCCUUGAGGAUGUCCUUGAAGGUCUUUCUCUGCCCUUCUCUUGAGCAUACACCUUGACUAAGAUGGGAGAAUAAAACUUGCUUUGGGAGUCAGGACUUGGACCUCCGGAUAAUGUAGCCAGCUCAGCAAAGUUGAUGUAAGAUGAUCGUUGCCUCGAUGCUUGUGGUGUUUGCUUGCAAGAGGAUGCUAAUGUUGGUGCAUCUGUCUUCCCAUGGUAUUCAAAGGAUUUUCCUCAGGCAACAUGGAUGGUAUUGUACCAGUGACUUAAGGUGUCUCUUGAUGAAAUACAUAUUUUCUUAGGUGUCGAAAGGCUGCUUUUGCACUUAUAAGGUGAUAUUGGGUUUCUUCACUGAUAUCAGCCAUCUGCAAGAGAUGGUCUCUGAGGUAUGGGAAAUAUCAAUGUUCUCCAGAGUCACACUGUAAAUAUGAAUUACUGGAGCUUGGGACUGCUCAUUAAGGGCUUGUUGAUGAAGGACCUUAGUGUUCUGAAGAUUAAGUGUCAGUCCCAUUUUCUUGAAGAUUGUCACAGUCAUGGCAUCCGUAAGGUCAUCUAGGAUUUCCUUAUCCUUCCAGAUCCUUAAGAUUAGGACAUGGAGCUUUGAUGUGAGCUCCUGUAGCUCCUGCCUGAAGAUUUCAGUGCAGAUUCCAUCAGCUCCAGAUGCUUUAUUUUUCUUCAUCUGCUUGAUGGCUUUCCUUACCUCAUCAAGGAUUGGAGGGAUUCCUAGAUUGCCUCUGACUGGGUGUUGCGAGGUGGAACUCAGCAAUAGGGUCUCAACUGAGAAAGUCUUCAAAAAGCUCCUUUAAGGGUACUUGAUGGCUCCCCUUUCCGGUUUCCUCCAUCCUUAAGUCUCAAAGGGAUUGGUACCUGAGUGCUUGCACUGUAGAUAGCUUUGGUGGUACUGAAAAAAACCUGUAUAUAUUGUGGAUAUCAGUGAGAUGUUGAAUAUACUUCGCCUUGCCUUCCUACCAUUUGUUCUUCAUAUGAUGGGUCCUCCUUUGGGCCUCUGUCUUGUCUACUUGGUGAUUCAGUUUCUUUGCCUUGGAAUUGAUGUUGUUCUGCCAAGCACAAAAUACCUUGCACUUGCAAUCAAUCAGCUCUAGGAUCUCCUGGUCAUUCUCAUCAAAUCAGUUUUGAAGUUUCCUGGUAGAGAAUCCAAGUGUCUCUUCAAAGGUGCUGAUGACAGAGGACUUGAAGGCUCCCCAAGCACUGCUGACAUUCUCCCAAUGUCGCUGAUGACUGGAAUUCACCAGUUUUUCACUGAGGUACUGGUGAAGGAGGUCUCGCUUGACUGGGUCUUCGAGUCCUCCAACUUUCAUCUUUUUUUGGUAUGGCUUCUACUGCAGCUGUUGUUUGGGAGCCACAAGGGUUGAGUUCAAGCACUUUCCCUUCAUAUGCACGUACUGUAAAACCAGAUAACAGAUGCUAUUUUUCAAUGCCAUCACAGCCAUUCAGAUCCUACGGAAGGCUGUUUUCAGUGUAUUCCACAGAAGUGCAACAACACAACCUCUGAGAAAGACUCGGUGAUUGCUUCUUUCAUGACAGCUCUAUUUAACCUUUGCUGUAUCCAGGGCUGACUUGGGUGGGAGGAACUGGAAAGUAGGAAGAAGGUAAAUGAAGUUUAAUUGGACUGAGAAGAACAACCUUGUAUGGCCAUUUUGACUUACUGGUUUUAUAAAACUACAUUGCUGCUGUUGCUGUAUUUGUGAUCGUCAUCAUUAUUAUGGACUUCUCUUCCAGUAACUCCUCAUUUAAGAGUUAGGGCUCCGUUGUGCUAAGUGCUUUGUCCAACCAAUCUUACUCUCUGGAUUAAUGACAAGUGAAUGAAACUAGAAAGUGGGUUGGGAGGAGAAGGUUAAGCAUGAGAAGGUUAACCUCAUGCCUGAUGUCACUUCCUAUACAGCUGCUACAGUUUUGUGGCCAGAGCCCUGGAAAGAUUCGACUAAAGCACAAAGAUACACUCAGAAUGGUAGAAUUUGUUGCAAUCUGAAAGGCUUUUUAUGGGGUGGGUUUAUUAACCUUAGCUACCCUGUGGAGUCUGCUGUUCCUCAGCUGCUGAUUAGUCAGAGAGGUGAAUGUGAGUCAAGGUGAGGAAAGAGGUGAAAAAAAACUUCAACAGGUUCUUAGUGCCAUUGCAUUGUCUCCGACACAUAAUUGCUUUCUAGGCAUGCAGUUCAGCGUCUAAUUGCCUCUGACUCUUUAAUGCCUUCAGGCCAGGGCAGGGUAGAGAUAGGCUCCUUGCCUGAAAUAAUAAAACUGCCCCCCCAAAUUCUCCGCUACUUGCAUGAAACAGCUGAGCAAAAUCAAUGGUCUCUGGGCCGUCUCCUCCUCCAUUGGCUUCAUGGGGCUUUCUGCUGAUUGCUCCCCAUAUGAGGACCAUGGCCUUCUGUGAGCUGCAGGAACUGCUUUUUGUCAGCCACUGCUCUGUGAGUUGCCAAGUACGGCAUUUAUUGACUUGUUUAAAAUCCCUUGAAAGCAGCCGCCCUCCCUCCCUGCGUGAAUUCAUUAACAGACUUUCUGAUUUCCUGCAUUCAAGCCCCGUGCCUGCCUUAAUCUCUUAUAUCUUUUAAUUAGGCCGGUCUCUUUUGGAGGACAGAAAGUGGAUUUCUCAAAUUGAUUAAUGUAAAGUAAAGCCAGGCUCUAGCAGUUUUACAUGCUGUUAAGUUUUAAUUGACAUGCAGCUGUCCUUUUGGGGCGGGAUUUCCUGCCACUGUUGUUUCUUUUGUUUCUCCAUACAGCAUGCUUCAGGCAGAGGUUGUCGCAGCCGAGGCUGGUCCUGGAUCAGAUCUGAAUUAACCUCCAAAUACAGCUAAAAUAUAAAGGUGACCUUUCUGCAGCCUCACUUGAAGUCCUUAAUUCUGCAUGGUGAACCACUGAAAGCAACAGCAAAACCCCUUUGACUUCAAGGAUACAGAAUUGGGUCCUUCAAUGCUCAUCCUGCAGUGCCCUCUUGUGGCCUCCUGUAUUUAUUUGUUUCACUUUCACGUUUAAUUCGCUCCUUCAUUUCAAGAUUUCCAGCUUUGGUCAAAAUUUGCUCCAUCCCCGUUAAUCUGGCUGUUUAAAGAAACAGUAGACUGCCGGAUUUUGCCUUAGUUUUCAUUAACAGGCCAUUGCUGUUUUGUUCUUUGCCAGAUACAAGGCAAUCCACUAAUCCAAUAAUUGGGUAGUUUGUGAAAGUUAAAAUAAUAUUUUUGUUUUCUCUUGCGCAGUUGGAGCAUUUCAUUCCUGGCUUGUCUUCCCUGCUGAUCCGAGUUAGCAACCUGCAGCAGGGAAGGAACAAACUGGAUCAUUGUGUAUAUAACUUCACGUUACUCUCAUAGACUGACUUUCAUCUUCUGUUGUCUGCCUCCCCAGAGAAGGUCAUAGCUGCUUAUACUACCCUAUAUGGGCAAAUCACUGAUCCGUUUGAAGGGGUGCAUGUUGUAGCCGUGUUGGCCUAAGGACAUAGGCAGACAAGGUUCUUUGCAGAAAGUUUACAUUCAGUCACAAUAAAUUACUAUAUGCCAAACAAUGAGUUUGACUUCCUGGUCCUGACUGUGGUGCUACAGACUUGCUGCUGAGUCCUUAUUCUAUCCUCAGAUGCUCUACCUGCUCACAAUUGUACAAGGACAAUGAUAUGCUCUGUGUGCUGGAUGUUUAAAAGAUCAGGCAAACAUUUCACACAUGGUACAACAAAAUAUUAUGAGGCUUUCUGGAUCCUGAACCUUUCCUGAGAUUAACUGAGAACGAUUUACCAUUAACCUUCAAGAAUACCUGCCCUGACUGCUACUUGUUGAGCAUCCAGCGACUAUGGAGGGAAAACUUUCUCUCUGGUCCAUGCUCACAUUUUGCUUUAGAUGUUACUAAGAAACUUAGUAUCAGGGCAGGGGGUCGGAACUUGAUGAUCUUCUCAGGUCCCUUCCGACCCUAGAAACUAUGAAACUUUCCAAAGUCUCCAAAACAUCCAAAAAUCUUGGCUUCCCUCAUGAGAACUACAUUCUAUAGUAACAUAAGGCAUGUGAAUGACUAAUAAAUAUCUGGUUACUCAUAUAUAUGCUUUGAAGUAAUGAAAAGUGAAAUAUUUAAGGACUGUGUCUUCCUACCA